AGGACGAACGCUGGCGGCGUGCCUAACACAUGCAAGUCGAACGGACUUAGCUGGAUGCUGCAUCCGGCGACAGUAGUGGCGGACGGGUGAGUAACGCGUGAAUAACCUGCCCAACAGAGGGGGGAUAACGUUUGGAAACGAACGCUAAUACCGCAUAACAUUGUGGCAUCGCAUGGUGCUAUAAUCAAAGGAGCAAUCCGCUGAUGGAUGGAUUCGCGUCCGAUUAGCUAGUUGGUGAGAUAACAGCUCACCAAGGCGACGAUCGGUAGCCGGACUGAGAGGUUGAACGGCCACAUUGGGACUGAGACACGGCCCAGACUCCUACGGGAGGCAGCAGUGGGGGAUAUUGCACAAUGGGGGGAAAAACCCCCUGAUGCAGCAACGCCGCGUGAGGGAAGAAGGUUUUCGGAUUGUAAACCUCUGUCCUAGGUGAAGAUAAUGACGGUAGCCUAGGAGGAAGCUCCGGCUAACUACGUGCCAGCCGCGGC
rnacentral:rRNA from 1 species